rnacentral:misc_RNA from 1 species
UCUCCGUUGGUGAACCAGCGGAGGGAUCAUUGCUGGAACGCGCCCCACGGCGCACCCAGAAACCCUUUGUGAACUUAUACCCCACAUCGUUGCCUCGGCAAGGCUGGGAGACGCCCCGUCGUCUCCCCCCCUCGCGGGCCGCUUCUGGCGGUCCCGGGCGGAGCAGGUCUGCCGGCGGCCCACCUAAACUCUUUUGUCUUCAAUAGUAUUACUUCUGAGCAAACAAACAAAAAAUGAAUCAAAACUUUCAACAACGGAUCUCUUGGUUCUGGCAUCGAUGAAGAACGCAGC